rnacentral:tRNA from 2 species
GCCCCCGUAGCUCAGUCGGAGAGAGCAUCUGCCUUCUAAGCAGAGGGUCGGGCGUUCGAGUCGCCCCGGGGGUA